AGCUUUUUGCAGUGACAGUAUCGUAGCCAAUUAGGCUUAUCUGAGGUCUGAUUAUUGCUAAUCACAAUGACAGCAAUGAUUAAUGAGACCCCUUACUUUAUUUCUUAAGGUAAUUCCAGGAGUUGUAAUAGACA
rnacentral:snRNA from 1 species